GGGGAAUAUUGGACAAUGGGCGCAAGCCUGAUCCAGCCAUGCCGCGUGAGUGAUGAAGGCCUUAGGGUUGUAAAGCUCUUUUAUCCGGGACGAUAAUGACGGUACCGGAAGAAUAAGCCCCGGCUAACUUCGUGCCAGCAGCCGCGGUAAUACGAAGGGGGCUAGCGUUGCUCGGAAUCACUGGGCGUAAAGGGCGCGUAGGCGGACAUUUAAGUCAGGGGUGAAAUCCCGGGGCUCAACCUCGGAAUUGCCUUUGAUACUGGGUGUCUCGAGACCGGAAGAGGUAAGUGGAACUGCGAGUGUAGAGGUGAAAUUCGUAGAUAUUCGCAAGAACACCAGUGGCGAAGGCGGCUUACUGGUCCGGUUCUGACGCUGAGGCGCGAAAGCGUGGGGAGCAAAC
rnacentral:rRNA from 1 species